rnacentral:rRNA from 1 species
UACGUAGGGGCAAGCGUUGUCCGGAAUCAUUGGGCGUAAAGCGCGUGUAGGCGGUUCGGUAAGUCUGCUGUGAAGUCCAGGCUCAACCCUGGGAUGCCGGUGGAUACUGUCGGACUAGAGUACGGAAGAGGCGAGUGGAAUUCCCCGGGUGUAGCGGUGAAAAUGCGCAGAUAUCGGGGAGGAACACCAAUUUUGCGAAAAGGCAGCUCGCUGGGGACGUCACUGACGCUGACGACGCGAAAGCGUGGGAGCAAACAGGGAUUUUAAAGAU